UUACGGCCAUAUCAUGUUGAAACACCGGUUCUUGUACGAUCACCGGAGUUAAGCAACGUCAAAUCUGGUCAGUACCUAGAUGUGUGACCACUUGGGUAUACCAGAUGUCAU